CGUGGGUAACUACCUCAUAGUGGGGGAUAACAGUCGGAAACGACUGCUAAUACCGCAUAGGACAUGGGAUCACAUGAUUCCGUGAGGAAAGGUGGCGCAAGCUAUCGCUAAGAGAUGGACCCGCGGUGCAUUAGCUAGUUGGUAGGGUAACGGCCUACCAAGGCAAUGAUGCAUAGCCGACCUGAGAGGGUGAUCGGCCACAUUGGGACUGAGACACGGCCCAA
rnacentral:rRNA from 1 species